rnacentral:rRNA from 1 species
UGCCAGCAGCCGCGGUAACACGUACCGUACGAACGUUAUUCGGAAUUAUUGGGCUUAAAGGGUGCGUAGGCGGCGUCGUAAGUCGGGUGUGAAAUCCCUCAGCUCAACUGAGGAACUGCGCCCGAUACUGCGAUGCUUGAGGGAGACAGGGGUAAGCGGAACUGAUGGUGGAGCGGUGAAAUGCGUUGAUAUCAUCAGGAACACCAGUGGCGAAAGCGGCUUACUGGGUCUCUUCUGACGCUGAGGCACGAAAGCUAGGGUAGCGAACGGGAUUAGAUA